rnacentral:rRNA from 1 species
GACACCUACGGGAUGCAGCAGUGGGGAAUAUUGGGCAAUGGGCGCAAGCCUGACCCAGCAACGCCGCGUGAAGGAAGAAGGCUUUCGGGUUGUAAACUUCUUUUCUCAGGGACGAAGCAAGUGACGGUACCUGAGGAAUAAGCCACGGCUAACUACGUGCCAGCAGCCGCGGUAAUACGUAGGUGGCAAGCGUUAUCCGGAUUUACUGGGUGUAAAGGGCGUGUAGGCGGGAAAGCAAGUCAGAUGUGAAAACCACGGGCUCAACCUGUGGCCUGCAUUUGAAACUGUUUUUCUUGAGUACUGGA